AACGAACGCUGGCGGCGUGGAUAAGACAUGCAAGUCGAACGGGACUAAAUCUGUAGCAAUACAGGUUUAGUUUAGUGGCGAACGGGUGCGUAACACGUGGGCAAUCUGCCGAGAAGUGGGGGAUAGCUCGCCGAAAGGCGAAUUAAUACCGCAUAUGAUCAGUGAAGACAUCUUCACGACAUCAAAGCCGGGGCAACCUGGCGCUUCUUGAUGAGCCCGCGGCCUAUCAGCUAGUUGGUGAGGUAACGGCUCACCAAGGCUAUGACGGGUAGCUGGUCUGAGAGGACGACCAGUCACACUGGAACUGAGACACGGUCCAGACACCUACGGGUGGCAGCAGUCGAGAAUUUUUCUCAAU
rnacentral:rRNA from 1 species